rnacentral:misc_RNA from 1 species
UCGUAUAACGGAGGUGCCGGGGCUGUCGCUAACUCUGUGCACGCCCUGGUGCUCUCUCACAAAAUCCAUCUCACCCCCUUGUGCAUCACCGCGUGGGUGCUCUCCUUUUGGUUCGUUCCGAAAGGGGGCGUUUGCGUUUUUAUACAAAACUGGAUACUGUAUAGAAUGUUUUCUUUUUUGUUUGCGGUCACACGCAAUCAAUA